CUUCGGGGACAUUGGUGACAGGUGGUGCAUGGUUGUCGUCAGCUCGUGUCGUGAGAUGUUGGGUUAAGUCCCGCAACGAGCGCAACCCUUGUCUUUAGUUGCCAUCAUUAAGUUGGGCACUCUAGAGAGACUGCCAGGGAUAACCUGGAGGAAGGUGGGGAUGACGUCAAAUCAUCAUGCCCCUUAUGCUUAGGGCUACACACGUGCUACAAUGGGUAGUACAGAGGGUUGCCAAGCCGUAAGGUGGAGCUAAUCCCUUAAAGCUACUCUCAGUUCGGAUUGUAGGCUGAAACUCGCCUACAUGAAGCUGGAGUUACUAGUAAUCGCAGAUCAGAAUGCUGCGGUGAAUGCGUUCCCGGGUCUUGUACACACCGCCCGUCACACCACGGGAGUUGGAGACGCCCGAAGCCGAUU
rnacentral:rRNA from 1 species